GGUGUAGGUGGUUGAGCCCAAUAGUUAGUGCCUGAGUUAGGCUUUUGUAUUGUUUACUAUUUGUUUAGUAUGAUCAUUUAAAUAGUUUGUACUUAGCUUCUUUGUUUUUGAUAUGUUUUUGUAAUAAUUCAUCCAUGCACUACCGCUCUUUCCCCGUGAAUGGGGGAGAAAUAAAUCAAAGCACCCGGUGAAGAGCUCCUGAGUCCAUGUCUCCUUCUUCCACCAUGGGGCUAAACCUUACAGAACCCCACUUCAACUACAGUGAAGCAGUGUCGCCCUUGACAAUGCUACUGACACUGAAAUAAAACUACCAGCAUGCUGCUCACCCAGAGGUACCUGGAGGUGCCAAGGAUGUACACUGCACAUCUGUCUAUCAGGGAACAUGGAGCGAAUGGAACAUGCACCAGGCUUGCAUCAAAGGGAGCUGAAGUGAUGGACGUACAGGUGUAUGACAGUGGAGGUGUGCAAAGGCUUCGUUGGCUGUUGUAAUGUGACAACUUCACAGACCAGAUUGAGGUGAUUUUCAUGUUUCAAAGGUGCGCUACAAACAAUUGUUUCAGAGUAUUUAUUGCAAUGAUUCAGUUCAAAGCGAAAGAACGUGAUGAUUUGUGACGAUGAUGAAGUGGACCCACUAUUUGAAAUAAUGUUAAUAAGUGGUCUUCGGGGAUGUCAGUGGUGCAGAACAAGAUUUCAAAUGAAACGGUGUGAAAUACUGUGUCCAAUGAAUUCCCAGGGUCCAUUAAUGCUCCUGGAUAUAUUUAAUUGGUUAUGUGAAUAUACCUGUAAUAUACUGUAUAAAUCCAUUAGUAUCAUAUUUCAUAUAUCUGUGAUGGACCUUUUAAUUCAUGUAGCAUGUGAUGUCAAA